rnacentral:tRNA from 1 species
AGUUAAUGAGCUUGAACAAGCAUAUGUUUUGAAAACAUAGGAUAGAGCUUUUAUUCUCUAUUAACUU